rnacentral:rRNA from 1 species
CAUCACCUCUAGCAUAACAAGUAUUAGAGGCACUGCCUGCCCAGUGACUAGCGUUAAACGGCCGCGGUAUCCUGACCGUGCAAAGGUAGCAUAAUCAUUUGUUCCUUAAUUAGGGACUGGAAUGAACGGCUUGACGAGGGUUUAACUGUCUCUUAUUUCUAAUCAGUGAAAUUGACCUCCCCGUGAAGAGGCGGGGAUUACAAAAUAAGACGAGAAGACCCUAUGGAGCUUUAAUUUACUAGUUUAAUUUUAACAACGAACAACCUAUGGGCCUAACAUACACAAAAUCUAAACUAGUGGUUUCGGUUGGGGUGACCUCGGAGCAUAAAAAAACCUCCGAAUGAUUUUAACUAAGACAUACAAGUCUAAGUAGUUACACAUCUUAUUGACCCAAAACUUUUUUGAUCAACGGACCAAGUUACCCUAGGGAUAACAGCGCAAUCCUAUUCAAGAGUCCAUAUCGACAAUUAGGGUUUACGACCUCGAUGUUGGAUCAGGACAUCCCAAUGGUGCAGAAGCUAUUAAUGGUUCGUUUGUUCAACGAUUAAAGUCCUACGUGAUCA